GGCGGCGCCCCCGGCGGCGCGGCGCUGUGGAGGCGAUGGCGCCGGCGGCGUCCAGGCUGCGGGCCGAAGCCGGGCUUGGGGCGCUCCCGCGGCGGGCGCUCGCCCAGUACCUGCUCCUCCUGCGGCUCUACCCGGUGCUCACCAAGGCGGCCACCAGUGGCAUUUUGUCAGCACUUGGGAACUUUCUGGCCCAGAUGAUUGAGAAGAAGCGGAAAAAAGAAAACUCUCGAAGUCUAGAUGUCAGUGGGCCUCUGAGAUAUGCUGUUUAUGGGUUCUUCUUCACAGGGCCACUGAGUCACUUCUUCUACCUCUUCAUGGAACACUGGAUUCCUCCCGAGGUCCCCCUGGCAGGGCUCACGAAGCUCCUCCUGGACCGCCUCAUCUUCACACCAGCCUUCCUCAUGUUGUUCUUCCUCAUCAUGAACUUUCUGGAGGGAAAAGACGCCUCAGCCUUCGCCACCAAGAUGAGGGGGGCUUCUGGCCAGCCCUGAAGAUGAACUGGAGGGUGUGGACGCCGGGACAGUUCAUCAACGUCAACUACGUCCCUCGGCAGG